rnacentral:rRNA from 1 species
GACGAACGCUGGCGGCGUGCUUAACACAUGCAAGUCGAACGAUGAAGAAGAGCUUGCUCUUCGGAUUAGUGGCGAACGGGUGAGUAACACGUGACUAACCUGCCCCUUUCUCUGGGAUAACGCUCCGAAAGGAGUGCUAAUACCGGAUACUCACAUCGAGGCACAUGCCUUGAUGUGGAAAGUUUUUCGGAAAGGGAUGGAGUCGCGGCCUAUCAGCUUGUUGGUGAGGUAACGGCUCACCAAGGAGACGACGGGUAGCCGGCCUGAGAGGGCGACCGGCCACACUGGGACUGAGACACGGCCCAGACUCCUACGGGAGGCAGCAGUGGGGAAUAUUGCACAAUGGGCGAAAGCCUGAUGCAGCGACGCCGCGUGAGGGAUGAAGGUCUUCGGACUGUAAACCUCUUUCAGUAGGGACGAAGCGAAAGUGACGGUACCUAAAGAAGAAGCACCGGCUAACUACGUGCCAGCCGCCGCGGUAA